ensembl:lncRNA
UUUUUUUUUUUUUUUUUGAGAAAAGUGUACAGAACAUACUCAGGAAGGGAAUCACAUUGUCUUGAAUGUCUUAUUCUGAAAUUUAAAUGGGAGGGUUUGCCAGGGUGUGUCUGUAUAUGUCCUGUAUGAACAGCACAGCGUGCACAUAAUGUGUGGGCUAAAUUCAUAUUUCUGGUGUAAUUUCACUGGCUCGUGUGGAAUGCACCAAAGAUGUGUCAAUGUGUGUGUGCAGACAGUUUCCUCCAGGAUCUCACAGGGGAAAAGAGGACAUGGAUAAUUUCACUUUGGAAGGAAUAAACAGAGGCAACUUUAGCAGGUUUGCUUCCCAGAGCAUUCCUUUUGUGAAUAAAAAUACUGGAGGAAUUUCAUGCAAGGGCGGCUGAAAAAUCCCAAUUCACUAGUUGUUAUUUUGAAAAUAAUUUCUUACUUUGGUGUCACUGUAUCUAGGUAUGGGAACUAAGAAGUUUGGUCUGGCUGAGAAGAGGGAAGAAGCUUUAAAAGCAAAUGUGAACAGCUCAGCAAAAACUCCACGGUAACCCUGGUUAUAUUUAAUUUUUUGAAACUAUCAGCUGUGACCACAAGUCAGUAUUGGACAUAUGUUGUAUUUUAGUGAUGACACACAGAAAGAAAGUGGAAGUAGCUUUAAAAUGUAGUGUAAAGAAAGGACACUUUACCACCCCCACAGCCCCCCACUCCAGGUCCCAAAGAACUGAGCCACUGAUUCCUAAUCCUCUCCAUUGCAUCAAGUAUUGUGUAGAUGCUGCUCUCUUCUGGCUGCCUACACAAAUUUUAAUAUGUAAAAUGUUAAUAAAAAGUGAAAUAAAAGGCUGAGAACAAUCAAAGAUGGCUUCAAAGUGCUGAGGGCAAUGGAGGCACCUCUGAGGCCUUGCUGGGGAGAGGUGACCUAUAACCAGUCACCUCAUAGUUCUGAUCUUACACCAUGCAGACCAUGACCUCCUUCAAAAUCUCCCUCCUCUCUUCCUGAAGACCUCACUCAGGAUGACCCACGUUCAUAUUUGGAGGCAAGGGGAAAGCAUACAUUUAGUUUUCAGGAGAAAAUUAUGAUGCAUAUGGGCAGCACUGUCUACUGUGGGCAAACCAUGCAGGGCAAGGGGCACAGCUGUGAUGCUGUGGGGUGUGCACGUUUGGCCAUCUCACACCUCAUGGCAACCUGAGUAUCAACAGCUCAGUUUUGUAUUCUUACAAAAAACACGGACAACUGAAAUCCAGUGAGAAGGUUAAAAAAAAAAUAAAAACUUUAAAAAAAUUCUAAACUCUCAAGUGACCCUUCCAUCAGGACAAGGAUCUUCAAACCUAUCCAGCACAACCAAUCUGCCAAACCAAAUGUAUCAGGGGUCACACCACCCCUCCAGAGAGAGCAGAGGAGGAACAAGAUUCCUUUGAAUAGGUUGGAGGUAGGAAAUAAAGAGGUCACCAUGACAUCCCCACUGCUCCACUGUGGGACACAACAGGGUAGAACAUUACUGGGGUCUAAGAUGACCCCCAGAUGGUUGACUUCUUUCUACCCUCUAGUUCCACACUAUAGACAUGUCCCAGUCAGGCACUUUGACCAUCCUCUCUGCAGAUUUCCUCAAGCAGAUCUUCUGGGUCAGUCCUACGCUUUAGAGGACGUGCCACACCCUGCUCCAUCCAUCUCAUGAGGUAACAUAAGCACUGUCUACCUGAGAAAGAAAGAGCUGCUCUGAGGGCAGGUGACACCCGUGUGUAGUGUUAGUUCAGACUGUCCAACAGCACCAAAGUCACCAGUCCAAGCUGCAGGACAGCUCAGGCAUUGCAAGAAAGCCAAACAUCUCAUCCUAGAGACAGAGGAAAUAACCAACAUUGAUCUCACCCCACACUAAUUCAUUGUCCUCCUUAAGGUUCUUAAAAGAUCAAAUCAGUCUUUAACUCAAGUGAUAUCUGGCUAUGUCCUACAUUCUGCAGCCCUGCUGACCACACAGCCAGACACGUGGCUGGGGUGAAGCCUUAUGCAGGUGAGAAGCGCUGUCCCUGUGACAGACCAGCUGCUUGUGGUGGCAGGGCUGUGCACUCUGUGCCACCUGUUUGCGUGGCGCUGGUUUGCUCCUGCGGCGAGAAGGAGAGGAAGUGCAGUCCUCACAGCAUCCGUGGGACUUGCAGGGAUAUCUGUUACAAUUCAUUAAGUAGUGCUCUAAGAAGUUACAAUAAUAACAUUUCAACACAGUUUCCAGAGGGAGUCUCAGAAACUACACGAAAAGCUGACAAGUUUCAAUCCAUUUAUCAAAGCACUCCAAGACAGAUGAAACAGCAGAGCUGCUUAGUGAGGAAUGUCUCUCUUUCUGGGUGUCCAGAGCAUUUCAGUAAAUAAAAAGCUCUUUAAAAAUAAGUCAAUACAAUGGAAUCCCUUUUGCCUUUUGCCAGCGCUUGUAUUACACUUACACCCAAAUGACCCUCCUACCUAUAAUACUGCACCAUUUACAUACACAUCAAAUGGGUGCUUUUCACUUACAUAAUACAUUUAAUCUGGGGAUUACAGAGCACAUUACAUAUUAAACAUUACACCACCUUGUGAGGUAGGUUAGCAUUAAUGAAAUUGUGGUGGGUAAACUGAGGCACAGGCCAGCUUUAUUACUUGCCUGUAGUCCAGAGGCAAUCAGCGGAAAAGUCAUUAAGAUGCUGUUCAAACAGCAGAGACACAUAUGCACCUACGUGAAUGGGUAAAAUAGCCUGAUCCACGUGUUCUAAAGCAACUUCAGCUGCUCAUCUGGAGACACUCAGGUCUUGAUUUUCUGAGGGCAGGAGAACAAAAGGCGAAUAGGAAAAGUCAAAAAGAAUAGAAAGCAAAUGUUUGCUGUUAAAAAUAUUUUUUUUUUUGUAUGCCAAAAUGUUUACACAAAACAAGAAGCAUCCACGACUGAAGGACACUUCAGAUGCUGGUCUCCAAUAAUUUGAUUUUCUGAGUAAAGUUUUUUCUAGACCUGUAAAAGGGGUUUUGUUAGGUUUUGUUCAAUAAUGUUGGUUUAUAUUUAGCUUGCAUAUAGCAGAGAAAAAAAAUAUCUUUGGUUCAGGUCUUUGAGCCAAGCAUCUAGGGUGAAAUUUUCAAAAGCACUCAACGGUGGCUUUUGAAAACAGAAUUAGGCUAGUUGCUGAGACAAGCUUUGAAAGCCACCCCCUACCUCCUUUAGCAUUUUAACUGAGCUGAUUUCCUCAGCGAUGGUACUGUUCCCUGUUUUAGUCUCCCCAUCUCAUGGCCUUCCCCAGUAUUGCUGAGGCAAGUUGGAUUUAACGCCAGGAAAGCAGGCAGGAGACAGGAAAGGAGGGAGCCUGUGGUCAUGACCUCCCCAGCAGGUCUGCUGCCCCAGAGUGCUGUAGCUGGACACAGGGAUGCUCCCUGGGUGGCUCCCACUUUCCAGCCAGCCUUUGUUCUCUUUGUGGGAGCCCUGGCUAAUAGAGGUGUACACCCUUCGCCUGAUGGGUAGGUGAGGCUAUAAUUACCUCGGUAAUAAGGUCUGAUUCUUCCCUGCUCUGCACCUCCUCAGCUGGCCAGGAAUACUUGUCUAAAAUGGGUGCAAAAUGCUACCAGAUCAGAAAGAUGACAUUUUACAUCAAUGGAAAUGACCAGGUGUAAGGAACAAAGGCCUACAAUAACAAUGCUCUCAACUCUGUUGUCCUUUAAUUAAGUAGUUCCUCCAGCAAUGACACUAAUGAGGCCUUGUUUCCUCGGGGUUGGAUUCUCUAGUAUCUAAAUGGGAUGUGAGCUUUUCCUGGGGAGAGAGGCAUUUAUAAUUUCUUCCUCCUAGGUAGUGUCCAAUUUGGGUGGAUGUCACGCUGCAGCCUCUCUUGGUGAGGACGCCAGUGGGACAUCUCUCCUCUUGGCUGCUGAUUUCCUGAAACUGAAAGAAAUUUUUGAGAGCUCUGCUCUCCUAUUACAUUUGACUGAGUUUGGUCAAAGGCUCCAACGUGGCAGGGGAUAGGAAGACAAAUUCAUCAAAUGAGACACAGCAAAGACAUAAGCCUGUUUCUUCUAGGAAGAGGAGAUUAAAUAGCAUUUUUUAUUUAAGAGCAAGUUUUCUACUGGUGUGGUAAACUCACAGGGUAUUUUUUGCUUCCUUGGAAGGCAUGCCUGGCUGCAACUCCUGCAAGCAGUAUCAACAAAAGGAGUAUGUACAGACAAAUACAUGCAGGCAGGACAUGCAGCUCAGGCAACAAGCAGUGUUACUUAGUUGGCUACAGAGAGAGCUGGAAAGUUCAUUAAAUCCACAGAAGCAGCGAUCAUGUUCACUGGGGACAGUGCUGACCGGACAAGGUCAUGGGUCUGAACGGAGAAAGCAACUGAACAAAGAAGCAGCAGUAGAAGGUUUUCUUUGGGUUUGGUCCAGAAGAGCAGUCUCAACAUGGCAGCCAGCAGGAUACAUGCACCAUAACACUGGAAAUGCAGGCUUGGCAGCCUGCACCAGACCUCUCUGGCCACAGGACAGCAGGGACAGCCCCUUUCCUGUACAGAGUUUAAUGGCUCAGAACCACUUAAGGCCCUCGAAAAUGUGUAAAACUUCCAACUUUCCAACACUGCUUUCUGGCAGGACAGACAUCCAGGGAAUGCCUUCACUUUGCAUGCUCCUGAACAUCCCAUCAAUGGACAGGCACCAGCCUCGUGAAAAACCUGAUAUUGCCUUGCAGAGUCCACAUCCUUCAUCAGUUAUGCCACCACCACCCGGUAUCUCUUCUCAUGAUAAAGCCAAAACACCAAGGGAACACCCAGGCUGCACUGCCACAACUCCAGGAUAAAUCUGCAGCAGUUCCUCAAACACCAUAGUCCCUAGGUGGUGGAGAGAUACCAGCUGUGGGUGACAUAACUCCUCACACUUAGCCCACCCCACAGAAUAAGCAACAUUUAUAGGUUAUCAAGAUUUUUUUGCCAAAUUAUUGCUGCGUGGGGAAAAGCAGACUAUUCCCAAAUCCAUCUUGGGAUGCCUCUCCAACUGCAAACACCAUUUUACUUAUACUUGGGCACAACAGUCUCCCAAGCAGGUUUUUGAGCCAGGAGGGGUAUCCACAUCUGUGUGUUAGUGGGAGACAGAGUGAGGGCUGGGAGCUCCCCCUCUUUGUGUCUGUCUCUGUUGAACUUGUCUGGUGUGAGAUGGAGACAGAAGCAACGGAUCCCAACAGUACCAACCUGUUACAGCCAUACCUUCAGGAAAAGUCCAAGGAACUACCAGUGGACCUUUCUGAGCAACGGAUCAAUACAGAGCUUCACAUCAGCUGCGCUGUUAUUCACGCCAAAGGCAGUUGUUUGGAUGAAGGGAUGAGGAGCGCACAAGUUCACCGGUUCUCAGCGCAUAAGCUCUUCCUCCCCUGCCCGAUAGAUGCCUUCAUUAUUUAUGUGUGACAAAUAAAAGACAGCAGUGGAAGAUGCUAAAGUGUUUCUCAAUGUGCAACACUUUCUGUUUCCCUACACGCACAGGCUGGGACUGUGCACCCAGGCCAGGCUGUGGGCAUGCCAAGGAGCUGGUGUGCCACUGCUUAACGUGCACAAAAACCCACUGCCAGGCAGUAGCUGAUGAAAUAUUCACCUGCUACAUGCCUCUUUCCCCACGUGACUCCAGAAGUGACAAAUUGUCCCAAGAAAGUGUGAGAGGAGCAUCUUGGAUUCAGAUGGAUUUGCUCUGCAGCAUCCUGUGAGACGUCAUCACGCCUCGCUCGCCAUUUCUGCCGUCAUCCCUGCACAGGGACCCACCGAAUGCAAACUGCAUUCAGAUGUAUUGAAUAAGAAAAGAUCAAAGACUGACUAUUAUAAAGCAAAGGGAGCCUAACACAUACCCUGUCUUUGACUGUUUCUUUUCUUACCAUCUUAAAAUUCUCCUGAAGCUUCUCCUUCUGUAAGAGGAUUAUUUACAACCAACAACUGCAACUACACAGAGAAAAUAUACUUAGAGAUAAAUACCUUUUCUCCUAUAAAAAGUAGCAGUUAAAAAUAUCUGUUUCAAAACAAAAUCUUCCCAUGGUUUCAUAUAAAAACCAAAAAUAUGUCAAAACACAUGC